CAGUAGCCGCGGUAAUACGGAGGGUGCAAGCGUUAAUCGGAAUUACUGGGCGUAAAGCGCACGCAGGCGGUCUGACAAGUCAGAUGUGAAAUCCCCGGGCUUAACCUGGGAACUGCAUUUGAAACUGUCAGGCUGGAGUCUUGUAGAGGGGGGUGGAAUGCCAGGUGUAGCGGUGAAAUGCGUAGAGAUCUGGAGGAAUACCGGUGGCGAAGGCGGCCCCCUGGACAAAGACUGACGCUCAGGUGCGAAAGCGUGGGGAGCAAACAGGAUUAGAUACCCGAGUAGUCCCUGUCUCUUAUAC
rnacentral:rRNA from 1 species